UACGUAGGGUGCAAGCGUUGUCCGGAAUUAUUGGGCGUAAAGAGCUCGUAGGCGGUUUGUCGCGUCGAAUGUGAAAACCCGGGACUCAACUCCGGGCCUGCAUUCGAUACGGGCAGACUAGAGUUCGGUAGGGGAGGCUGGAAUUCCUGGUGUAGCGGUGAAAUGCGCAGAUAUCAGGAGGAACACCGGUGGCGAAGGCGGGUCUCUGGGCCGAUACUGACGCUGAGGAGCGAAAGCGUGGGGAGCAAACAGG
rnacentral:rRNA from 1 species